GGGAGCUUUACCUAUGGUAGAGAAGCAGGCGGCCGCGAUUCUCCUAGUGAUUUCUGGUUGAUCCCGGCGGAGGCUACUGCUAUUGGGAUUCGAUUAAGCCAUGCAAGUUGAAUGAAUUUAGAUUCAUGGCGUACGGCUCAGUAACACGUGGAUAACUUACCCUUAGGACUGGGAUAACUCUGGGAAACUGGGGAUAAUACCGGAUAUUAGGCUAUGUCUGCAAUGGUUUGCCUUUGAAAUGUUUUUUUUCGCCUAAGGAUAGAUCUGCGGCUGAUUAGGUCGUUGGUGGGGUAAUGGCCCACCAAGCCGAUGAUCGGUACGGGUUGUGAGAGCAAGGGCCCGGAGAUGGAACCUGAGACAAGGUUCCAGACCCUACGGGGUGCAGCAGGCGCGAAACCUCCGCAAUGUACGAAAGUGCGACGGGGGGAUCCCAAGUGUUAUGCUUAAAGGUAUGACUUUUCAUUAGUGUAAAAAGCUUUUAGAAUAAGAGCUGGGCAAGACCGGUGCCAGCCGCCGCGGUAACACCGGCAGCUCGAGUGGUAGCUGUUUUUAUUGGGCCUAAAGCGUUCGUAGCCGGUUUAAUAAGUCUUUGGUGAAAGCUUGUAGCUUAACUAUAAGAAUUGCUGGAGAUACUAUUGGACUUGAAGUCGGGAGAGGUUAGAGGUACUACCGGGGUAGGGGUGAAAUCCUAUAAUCCUGGGGAGGACCACCUGUGGNCGAG
rnacentral:rRNA from 1 species